AUGCGAAGGUCCCAGCAGGGGGGCGAUUACUCUUGUUGAGGCCUCUCUAACAAUCAAAUUCUAUUCCCUUCGCAUAGUUAUUCGCCGAAUCGUAGGAUGCCCAAAUUUUCUUCAAUUUUGGUGCGUCUUGAACCCUCGGCUAUAUUUUA
rfam:Vigna angularis cultivar Jingnong 6 chromosome 11, whole genome shotgun sequence.